UCCAGUCUGUAUCCAAGUCAGAGGGUCACUGCAGUCACCCGGAUCCAGUAUGUAUCCAGCCCAGAUGGUGGAUUAGCACCUAGAAAGGACCUCUACAGCCCUGAAAGACAGCUGUUACGUGGGAGUGUAGUAGGUUGUGUGGUUUAUGGGGAAGAGGUGUAUUUGUGGUAUAGUUUUCCCUGGCGUGUUUUUCUUCCUUCCUCUUUUGUUACUCUCACUGCAAUGACUCACAGGUGGAGCUGCUAACGAGUGCCCUGAUUGGUGACUGGAGUGAUUGGCGCUGUAUUUAAGUCUCCUGAACCAUGGAUCUACGGCUUCCCGCUCUCAUGGCUUCCUUGACUGAUAGACAGAUGUGUUUAUGUAUGUAUGUAGUAUGUAGUAUGGUGCCCAUAGUGUUUGUUAACUGGUUGUUAUGAGACCUUUGUUGUAAACCACUAUCUUUUGCUAUGUUAUGACUCUUUUUGUUAAAUCCUGAUCCUUACCUAAUUGGAGCAUGGUAGGGAGGUGGGUGCCUUUCUUUUAUUAUUCGUUUUCUCCUGGUUAUGAUAAUUAGGGAGGGAAGCUUUUGUACUUUUGUUUAGUUUCUUUUAAUUCUAGGUUAGUAUCUCUAAAAUGAGUUAGCUUUGUUUUGUUAUUUGUUUUGGCUCUUCCCCCUCCUGAAGCUUAUGUUGCUCCUUAUCUACUUUUGUUUAAUAAAUUCACUUUUUCACUUUAAA